rnacentral:rRNA from 1 species
GAGUUUGAUCCUGGCUCAGGACGAACGCUGGCGGCGCGCCUAACACAUGCAAGUCGAACGGAGCUUAGAGAGCUUGCUUUUUAAGCUUAGUGGCGAACGGGUGAGUAACGCGUGAGUAACCUGCCCUAGAGUGGGGGACAACAGUUGGAAACGACUGCUAAUACCGCAUAAGCCCACGGUGCCGCAUGACACUGAGGGAAAAGGAUUUAUUCGCUUUAGGAUGGACUCGCGUCCAAUUAGCUAGUUGGUGAGGUAACGGCCCACCAAGGCGACGAUUGGUAGCCGGACUGAGAGGCUGAACGGCCACAUUGGGACUGAGACACGGCCCAGACUCCUACGGGAGGCAGCAGUGGGGGAUAUUGCACAAUGGGGGAAACCCUGAUGCAGCGACGCCGCGUGGAGGAAGAAGGUUUUCGGAUUGUAAACUCCUGUCGUUAGGGACGAUAAUGACGGUACCUAACAAGAAAGCACCGGCUAACUACGUGCCAGCAGCCGCGGUAAUAC